UGGCACCACCCAGGCUAAAGCAAACUAUAUCUUCUAUUCAUGUCAUUCUAAAUCGAGAGUUUGGCUAUUAAGAUGUCUUUCAGAGACAGCGAUUCUGGAAUAUCUGAUAAAUUCGUUAAUUGGAGCUUAUCCUUUAUUAUGUCUAGGCAUAAAAGAUUGGCGCACUUUCCAUUUUCUUUAUUUUUUCAUGCUUUGACGUUUAUCUGAAAAUAUAAUGUUGAGCCUAUAAAGCAUUGCACCUUAUUAAAAAAAUUUCAGCCAAACUUAAAAAGCAAUUUUCGGCACAGAAGACUAUACAUUUCCAUCUUACCACCUGCCAAGAAUGUCAUGGUGUCAAUAAAAAUACCAUGUCAAGAUUCUAUCCUCUUUCUCUUGACAGUUAGUAGCCUUGCGUCAUGUUUUGACAUUAGGAUCACUUGAAAAUGGUCUGCUUGCAUAAAUAGGUUUUCAACAGAACAAUAUUGCUAAUAAGCUGAACUUGCACAGGCCGCCGAGGAAUGAUUAUUGUGCUGGUUUUGAUUGAUUUCGCGUUUUUAGACACGCAAUGUUGCAUAAUUUAUACCGACUAUUUUGAUUAUUUCAAUGAACGUUGGGCAAGUUAGAACCGAAUUAGGCCAGCUAGGAAAAGGGGAGAUAUUGGCUGCCCACUGCCACGCAAACAACGUUGUUGUCUAGUGUUGAUGUACAGGAGGUAAGAUGUAACACCAUUCUUAACUUAGAGCUCUCUAGUCAGUUAGACAAGAAAACAAAUAAUAGAAGUAUCAUUUUAACUUGAGUUGAAUCUUUAGGUAAUCAAACUCAAAGUUUGAUUUUAUAGGUUUGUUGAAAGUUGGGCGAUAUAUGGAAUGGUUGAAUAUAAAUGUUUUAAGGAGAUAGAUCCUUUGCAUCUUUGCACAAAUAAAUUAUUAAAGCAUCCUAGAGUACUAUAGUUGGAUUUCAAAGAAACAGCCACAACUGAGACAUGUAUCUACCUAAUCCACGUAAAAGCCUAACUUUCAAAACAUAAAAACUGGAUUAACAGAAUCUAUGUGCAGCACAAACAGUGAUCCUAGCUCUUUGCUUCCCCAUUCUUAUCUGUUGGAUAAAGAGCAGGUCUUGUUAAAAAUAAUUCAAAAAAUCAGAAGAAACCUUGAGCGCAAUAAGACGCAAGCAAGAAAAUGUCAGAUUUCCAGUGGGCAGGUGCCUUUGGCCUAGCAACAGUCUGGUUUGUCUAUAAUAAAUAUUAGCGGAACACAGACAGCACAAAGAGAUAUAAUCCAAAUCUGGGGAUGAGAUCCUGGAAAACACAAUUCAAAUGCAAAUAAAUAGAAUACAUUAUUUUAGACAAUAAGCAGCCGAUAAUCUGCUCGUGUUUUUGAUGACCGAACGAAUCCGGGCAGCUCGUACAGAAUAUUGAAUCGAGUCGCAGCAAACAGAGGUGCUAACCCACGCGAUCUUGAAGUAAUUCGUGCAGGAAACUCAUGUCGCUCAUUUAAAUCUUGAUUUGCAUAGUUAGAUGAUCAUGUUAUACUACUCAAAGUUGCUGUACUACUAGAGGGCACUUGAAAGGUCUAUGCACUGGAAACGUUCAUACGAAAGCAUUACUUCGCUGCGAAACGAAAGGAUGGCUCGUGGGGAUGCACGCUUCUGAACGCGUUCAGUGGGCAAUAGCUUUUGUGAAAGAAUCUUUUUUGGCAGUUCUGCCCGUCUGUUUCUAGUGAGAAUUUUAUAAAGCCUUAAAGCAUCUUUAGAACUAAGAUUGGACUUUACGAGGCUCAACAAAGAAGAAAACUUAUUAAUUGAGCAAGUCGAUUCAAACUGAAGACGAUUCACAAAAUAUUGCAAUGAGGUACUUGCAUAUACCGAAGACUUUCUCACACAACAUAAAAGAGAUUAUAUUUAUGGUUUUAAUAAUCAUUGAUUAUUCUUCUUUGUUGUCAUUAAAGACGAAGAAAGGUACAAAACUUGCGGCCCAUAACUGCACACAUGCCAAAAAAACUUUGUCAUUAAAUGAUUCAAUUGUCAGUCUAAAAAACACUUCAAAACAGCAUAAUGCAACAGAGAAGAAUAAAAUGGACCUGAAAGGUUAUUCUAACUUGCCAAAUGGAACAAAGGCAGAGAAAGGGAGUGGAUGUGUCAAUGAUCAAAGCAGGGCCAUUUGUCACACGUAUAUUCACAGCAUGUAUCGAUUUUAUUCCACAAUUGGAGGCUUUCUCAUGCUGGCAAUUGUUGCAACUGGAAUUUCAUUUUUAAUUGUAACUCAUUUCCAUGGCCGACAUAUUGUGAAAACCAACCAGCAUGUUGUGGCAAAGAUCGCGAAAUGGGACGUCAUUCAACACCGAAAGCAGCAGGCAAGAGAACGCACAGCGAACUGGAUUUGAAAACAUUAUUUUCUUAGACCCAAACAACACGCAUGGACUCACCGGUAUUUGCCCCCAGGACACAUUCUAAUUGGAUGCUAACUUCGUGCCAAUGUUUGGGCUGCUAGCAAGCUACAGAUGGUAGAAACGUUGAAAUACACUCAGUGAGGAUAAGCCCGGGCCAGAAGAAUGCCCAUCUUAUAGAGCAGUACGACCUGGAAUGGGUAAAAGAAGAAAACGAAAUCAUCCUUAAUCGUUUCUCUUCAAACAAUAUUUGGCUUUAAUAUGAGUAUAAUAUGAGUAAUGAAACAAUGCGUAAUGUAAUGUAAUGAUGCAAGAAUAUACGUUUUAAUUUUCUUAUUUUCUGAAAUAUUGUGAAAAGAAUGGGAAAAUUAAAUGGCAAGGUUUCAAGAAAUUAUUUAUGCAAAAUGUUCAAUGAUAUGAAGCAAGUAAAUUUCAAAGAAAUUCUUGCAUUAAAAAAAUCGACACCUUGCAAAAGAAAUGUUGCCUUAUACAGUAGCUUCUGCUGAAUCGAAGCAAAUAUCGUUAUCUAGAAUAUUGUUUUUACAAAAAGGAAUGAAACUAGGCAUAUUGGAUGGAAAAUGAGCGAUAGGAAAUUGAUGUGGUGUCUUGUAACAGAUAGCACUCAUAAAAAUUCAAAAUGCAAGAUUGCGUGUAUUCAAUAUCGAGAAAGUAAACAUUGCGCCUGUGAUUGCUUCGACAUCUGUCUCAAUUUCCAUUACCUCAAUUUUAUCACUAAGACGUGUAAAGUUCAAAAAUGCAAUUUUGUACCAUUAAGAAAGCUCUAAAAUGGAAUUCAAAUAGAACUCAAUAGAAACGAACGAAAUGGUGUAUUCAAACUCUACUUACAAGUAUGUCUUAUCAUCGAUGCGAAAGUUCCUCAUGAUUUGUCGUCCAUUGCCAACAUUAAAUCGCUUGCUCUCAAUUAACUACUUACUAGUUCAAUGUUUAACUCAAAACGUUGCAUUACAAUAACAAUCAGGACUCCAGGGGAAUUUAUCAAAUAGCUUUAAAGAAUCCCAUAAGAUGUUGAAAACAAUUUGGCUGGCAAAUCUUGCCACGCUCUUUGAAAAAUACCGAAACUUUAUUUGUACCCCAUGGCAAUUAGAGACGAACGAAUAUUUUGUAUAUACAUCCAUUACAUGCAUAUCAUGGAACAUCUGUUUUUUCAUAAACAGAGGCAGAAAUAAAAUCCAAUGUCUUUGCCUUUUCAGCAGAAACAAAAGCAAUGCCUUUUCAUCAGAGCCCUUCUUUCAUCUGUUGUUCGACACUGGUUGAACCCUGUUUGUUUUGGACAGAAAACGGGCUUAUUGCUGCAAGAAAUCGCUUUAUGCAUAAGCACGUCCAUAGGGAAUAAAAAAAGGACCUCAGGGCUGCCCAUUUGUGCAAUCCUUCAUUGGUUCUGAAAUCAUACGGCUUUCCACAGAUCUUUUUUGUCGUUAUGCUCUCCUCUUCAUAAGAGUCUCUCGCCAUUUGGCAUUCAAUUUUUCAUCAAGCAACAGUACCACAUCUACAUUAUUUUCCAUACCUGUUCCCUAUCUAAAACGACACAAUCAAACUUUUUGCCUUCUUCUAGAACCCUCUCUUGUAGCUGCCUUAUUUUAAAAUAGAAUCUAUUGUACGCCUGGUAUUCAGCAAUUUUUUUGUACUUUUAAAAAUGAAGUACGUCACGUUGCAAGAUUAAUAAAUAAGUAAUAAUGAUAAAGGUGUAUUUAUAGCGCCGUAUUUCCCCAGGGCUCAAAGGCGCCUUACAACAUAAAAUUACAUAAAAAUUUCGACUAAAGAGUAUAAUUUACAUUGGUUGAUAAAAUAUACAUGAUCCCAUGCGCUUAACAAAAUAACCAUUAUUGACAUUAGUAUAAAUAAUAGGAUCUAAAUAGGUAUGUCUUUAAUGCCUGCUUGCCAAUGCCAAAAAUCUAGGGAUCGAACUGGGUGUAAGAGCAUCCUUUAAAAAGUUUGACUACAUCUUUCCAAUAUUCGGUAGUUGAAAAAAAACUUUGAUUUCCCCCUUAAAAAUUAAAUCUAGCUGCUCCUAACUGCUUCAUUGAAUUCUCAAUAACAUUUAUUGCACAACAUCGCUUACUAUAAUAGACGGUUAUAAGCCACUAAACAUGUAUGAUUCCUGUCCUACAUCAUUCAAGAAGGAUUGAGCAACACUGAAAACACUGUGCAAAUAAAUGGGGAUGGCCAUCCACAAUGUUGGUGCUGCAUAGCUAAAUGAAUGGUCUCCUGCUGUUUUCAAAUUUGUCCAGUGUUGUUGCAAAAGGUAACCAUCACAAGCUGAUCUUGUCGAGCGGGCUGGCUCAUACUUUAGGACAAGGGCCUCCAGGUAAUGAGGCGCAACUCCGUGUAAACAUUUGAAAGCAAUCAUAAGAAUCUUGUACUCGGUUCUUGAUGAGACUGGCAGCCAGUGUAGUUGCUUCAAUACUGGGGUGACAUGAUCAUACUUUGAUGCACCAGUCAGAAUCCUAGCCGCUGAAUUUUGGAUCUUUUGGAGUUUUCUAAUAGACCAUACAGUAAAGAGUUUGUGCAAUCGAGUCGUGACAUAACAAAGACAGGGAUGGCUUUUUCAGCAGCUUCAGUGGUCAAGUAUCUUCUUGCAACAUUGAAUUUACAGAGAUUGUAUCUUGCUGAUUUGCAAACUCAAUUUACAUGAGCCUUCAGUGCCAUGUGCUUGUCAAGGAUGACGCCUAAAUUCCAUGCUUCGUCUUUGGGCCAUAUAGUAUUUCGGACCUUUGCAUAUUGUUGGCGCGUGUCAAUUACGAGCAUUUCUUUUUUAUCACUAUUCAGUUUCAAGUUAUUGCAUAGUAUCCAUUCAUGUCAUGUACACAAAUUUCCAGCUUCUCAGUAAACUGUUCUGCAUCAACUGGAGUGGGAGUGAACAUGUAUAGCUGUGUGUCGUCUGCAAAUAGAUGCAUCUGCAUAUAAACGCAGAUUGUUUGCGUUUGCGAAUAAGAUCCUCCAAAGGUAAGGUGUAGAUUGUGAAGAGAAGCGGGCCAAGCACUGACCCUUGAGGGACUCCACAGUUAACAGGUUCCUUCUUGGAAAUUUCGCUCUCAAUACGGACCAUCUGGAACCUCUCCGACAGGUAAGACUCAAGCCAUUUUGGUGCAUGACGUUAAAUGCCACAUCUAGCUGACAGCCGUCUUAGAAGCAGGUUAUGAUAAGGCUGCACUAAGGUCAGGCAACAGUAAAAUUGUUACUUGUUGUUUGUCCAUUGCCAUUAGAACAUCGUCCUCGACCUUGAGAAGUGCUGUCUCAAAGCUGUGGAAUUGUUUGUAGGCAGACUGAAGUGGCUUUUGUAAUCUAUUUGUAAUCACAUGACGCACAAUUUGGUCUGCAGCAGCUCUCUCGAUUAUCUUAGAUACAUACUGUAAGUUUGAUAUAGGUUAUUUAAUAGGUUUGAUAUAGAUAUAGGUGAACAUUUCUUUUUAUCCGCUCUAGUUCUUUAUUCAACGGGAAAUAUGUUCAUGACUCAAGAAACACCUUUCAUUAUGGUUUAUGAUGUUUUAGACAUACAGACACCAAAUCCAGAAGGAAACUUUUCAUUUGGCUGAUUGAUAAUUCAAAAUGGCUGAUCAACCCAAAUAACGCCUCAGCUCCUUUCAAGUAUCUUUUGAAAAGUGUACAUAGUGAACGAAAAAAAAAGGGAAAAACUUUACCAUGACAAAAUUUGCCUUUCAAGGAUGAAUUGAUGUUGGGACCGCCAUCCCCCCCCCCCCUCAAUAUAUAUAGCCAUGCUACGACCCUGUAUAUGAUUACAAAGAAUGAAUUGAUCACACACAACUUACAGGUUUACUUUAAUAUAUUUGAUAAAUUUCUCCAAAAAAUAUUUUAUUUUCCCAUCGCACUUGAAGAAAUAAAUAGCUACGAAAAUUAAGCAUAAUGGUUGCCAGAUUCCUGAUGUGUGUUAAAAAUCAAAAUUAUGAGUAGUCAUCACAGUUUAGAAUAGAGAAGUUUUCAUGAAAAAGGUAGAUAGAUACAAGAAUGGAUCGCUAAUUCUUUUCGCAAAUUUAAGCAACCCUUAUGGUCAUGAGGAGUUUAGACUACCUGGAAAUUUUAACUGAUAUUGUAUUAUUUGUACAAUAUUAAAAAUUACUUUUACCAUUAAGACAGUCAAACUCUUUCAUACAUUCAAUCUUUUCUCUUCAGACACCUUUCACUCUUCUUUACUCUUCAGUCACCUUGAAACCUAUCCUAUCAAUGAUCUGAGAGCAAAACCGAUAAAUUGAUUAAAGAAGCUGAAUACAAGGGAAAGAGGUAACAGUGAAAUCCAUACAGGGCCAGGCUAUCAUUCGAAAGAAUGGAACGACAAAGCACAACCUGAUUUUCAACAAUUUGAUAUUUUAAACUUGACGGAAACUUUUCUGCCCAGACCAAACCAGAACGAACCAGAGAACAAACCAGACCAGAUGCGACCUGACGGUUGGAAGUGGCACGUAUCUUUUUUACCAUGCCAAAAAGUUCUUAUAUAUUCGUUUCGAAAGGAAACAGGUAGUUGAACAAUGGAUUUACAUUUCAUUAUAGUAUGACUAAAAUACAAGAUAGUAAAUACUUAUAUUUUCUGCAUUAGGUGAAGCGAUCUAAAAAUAUAACGCAUUUUCACAGCAUAAGUGAAUAAAUGUUAUCUAAAUCUAAACCUCCUUAAAAGGGAAAGACCACAACAAAUAUGCACCUAAUACAUAACAUAACAAAGUUUAAUGACU